rnacentral:rRNA from 1 species
GACGAACGCUGGCGGCGUGCCUAAUACAUGCAAGUCGAACGAACCGCGACUAAGUGCUUGCACUAAGUCAAGGUGAGUGGCGAACGGGUGAGUAACACGUGGGUAACCUACCUCAUAGUGGGGGAUAACAGUCGGAAACGACUGCUAAUACCGCAUAGGACAUAGGAUCACAUGAUCCAGUGAGGAAAGGUGGCGCAAGCUAUCGCUAAGAGAUGGACCCGCGGUGCAUUAGCUAGUUGGUAGGGUAAAGGCCUACCAAGGCGAUGAUGCAUAGCCGACCUGAGAGGGUGAUCGGCCACAUUGGGACUGAGACACGGCCCAAACUCCUACGGGAGGCAGCAGUAGGGAAUCUUCCGCAAUGGACGCAAGUCUGACGGAGCAACGCCGCGUGAGUGAAGAAGGUCUUCGGAUCGUAAAGCUCUGUAGUUAGAGAAGAACAGCGCAUAGAGUAACUGCUAUGCGUGUGACGGUAUCUAACCAGAAAGCCACGGCUAACUACGUG